AGUGAAGCGGCAACAGCUCAAAUUUGAAAUCUGGCGUCUUUGGCGUCCGAGUUGUAAUUUGCAGAGGGCGCUUUGGCAUUGGCAGCGGUCCAAGUUCCUUGGAACAGGACGUCACAGAGGGUGAGAAUCCCGUACGUGGUCGCUAGCCUUUACCGUGUAAAGCCCCUUCGACGAGUCGAGUUGUUUGGGAAUGCAGCUCUAAAUGGGAGGUAAAUUUCUUCUAAAGCUAAAUACUGGCCAGAGACCGAUAGCGCACAAGUAGAGUGAUCGAAAGAUGAAAAGCACUUUGGAAAGAGAGUUAAAAAGCACGUGAAAUUGUUGAAAGGGAAGCGCUUGCAGCCAGACUUGCCUGUAGUUGCUCAUCCGGGUUUUUACCCGGUGCACUCUUCUAUAGGCAGGCCAGCAUCAGUUUGGGCGGUUGGAUAAAGGUCUCUGUCAUGUACCUCUCUUCGGGGAGAACUUAUAGGGGAGACGACAUGCAACCAGCCUGGACUGAGGUCCGCGCAUCUGCUAGGAUGCUGGCGUAAUGGCUGUAAGCGGCCCGUCUUGAAACACGGACCAAGGAGUCUAACAUCUAUGCGAGUGUUUGGGUGUCAAGCCCGAGCGCGUAAUGAAAGUGAA
rnacentral:rRNA from 1 species